rnacentral:lncRNA from 1 species
CCCCCGGAGCCGAACGACAUCGAACUCGGACAAGGAAGAAACUUUCACGUCCGGACUUGGAAAUGAAUCAUCAAUCGGAUUACCCGAUCGACUAUCUCGAGGAGGUUCUGUGGGACCAUCUACUGGUUUCUUACCCUUUCUACCCCUACCGAAAGCCAUUAUCAAGAGAAGAAGAAUAGAUAAAGAAACAAUGAAAGAAAAGAAAGGUGAAGGAAGAUGAAAGCAAGAC